rnacentral:lncRNA from 1 species
UUAUAGCAGCAUUAUUCUUAAUAGCCAAAAGUGGAAACAAUUCAAAUGUCCAACAACUGACGAAAAGAUGAAGUGUGGUAUAUCCAUAUAAUGGAAUAAUAUGCAGACAUAAAGUGGAAUGAUUGACACAUGUUUACAACAUGGAUGAACCUUGACAACGCUGUGUUAAGUUAAAGAAGCCAGACACAAAAGGAUUGUCAACACUGUGGCAAUUGAAAAUAACAGGAAUAACUGUUUUAUGACAAAUGGACCUGAACCCUAUGAAAUGAAUUUGCAAGCACUGGCACAGUUAACAUAUGCUACAAACAACCAUCUUCAGACAGUGUAGCGAACCAACUGUGCCAGACUUAAACUGACGACCCUGAGGUGAAUCGUUCUAUUGCCACAACAUUUCUGAUCUUCAAGGCUCUCCAUGCUCCUAAACUCUUUUCUUUAAUAUUCUACAGUGUGUUUAUUUUCACGGCUAUAAAGUCAUACUCAGAUUUGCAAUGAUAUUUACUACCAUAUUUCAGAGUGUUUUAACUGAUGUUAGUUCAAAUCAAUUCUGGAGAAACUUUCCAGCCAAGGGAAUUGCAAGCUAGCUGGUUGACAUUGGAGGUCAAAUACUCCAGGGUAUGGGUCUCAAAUCACUUAAUUCUUCACAGCAAAUUAGAAACGGGACUCCAGCUGGUGCUAAAGAAUAAGACAGACUUGCUGUAUAAGGACAAGCUGCUGCUUGGAUUUCGAGUCUUUAUAUUCCUAAAAUAAAAAAUGUGAGACCCAAUUCCCACCCCCCAAUCUCAUUCUUUCAGAGUAAAAGAUUUCUUAACAACAGCAAAAAUCUGGCCACCUGAUUUCAAUACAUAAAUCUUGCCAAGUUAUAAAAAUAAAAUAUGAUUUAAACAGCAACCUGUAAUCUCCUGUUGACGACCAGCUGUGCCUCCUAUUAGUAUUAAUGGAAGUUACACAGGCAUAAUAAGAAGGAGGGGAAAAUGCCACCUUAUGCUUUUUGCACACCUUAACAUUUUUAUAGCAAGUCUGAUUACAAGGGUUUACUUGAGCGGCAAUUAAACAAUGAUUGAUUACUCAGUACAAUUUGUAUUCCAGGCAACAUGCAAAUGGUAAUGAAAUUCUCAGAUAAGGAAUGGAAUAAAUUCUUCUCACAUCAGAGAAUCACAUCUUUUUAACAGAAAACGUUUUCUUAUAUGGAGAGAAGAACUUCAGUAUAAGUUUCUUAAAUAAUACAUGUUUACCCAAAGACAAUAAGCCUUGAUUUGGAUUUAGAAAGGAAUGGUAAUGAUUUUUGCAAAUUGUACUUCCCACUUCACCUUUAGACUACGGCUCUCUUUCCAUGAUGACAAACUAUAUGGAUGGAAAGUAUAAUAUUCACUCACAAAUAUAUUGACUUCAACUAUAGUCACAACUAUAAACAAUAUUUUUCAUAUUUUGACAUUGCAGAAAUAAUAUCUACUUUUAAAUUGAAAGUGAAGUGAAAGGUUUAUUUAUUAAGUGUCUAUCAUGUGCCAGGCACCAUUCUAGGUGUAGGCAACACAGCAAAGAACACACAAUACUCAUGGUAGAGAAGAAGAAACUGACAAUAUACAAGUAUACAGAUAUAGAUACAAAGUCAGCGUAUAUAGAAUAAAGAAAACGAUCGGGAGAAACUGAUGGGCAUUGAUGUGUAUAUGUACCCAUUCAUAUUCAGGGGAAAAUGAUGGAAAGGGAAGUCGAUGACUUUGCACUUGCUUUUUCCUACUUAAGGAAGAUCCUGAUCCAACAUCAUUGAAUAGUUGCCUGCUGUGUACCAUUUUGAUAUUCAUCCAAGUACAAAUAAUAGAAAGAGCUUAGAAUUAAUAUGCUGGAUAAAUAGUAAAGCCACAGUGGCUGACGUGGUAUAAGCUGGAGUAAAAUGGAGAUGACAUGAGAUCACAGAUACACAGAGGUAUAGUCAUUGUAGGCCAAUGUAAGUAAUGUGUGCUUUACUUUAAUUUUAAUGAGAAUCCAUUGAUAGGUUAACAGGGGAGUGUUAUGAUGUAAAUAUGUUUUUCAACCAUCAAUCUAAUUGCUGUAUGUAUGUUAUGGGAUAUAAUAGAAAUGUGACCUACCUUGAAAUCUGCAUUUUUCCUGAAGAACUGGCUAAUACAUUACCAUUUUCACUUAUUGAAAAUUUAACGUAAAAGAGAAAUUGCAGUUAAU